rnacentral:rRNA from 1 species
GGAUCAGACUUUGAUUCUGGCUCAGGACGAACGCUGGCGGCGUGCUUAACACAUGCAAGUCGAACGAGAAUCUGCGGAAAGAGGAUUCGUUCCAAUUGAAGCAGAGGACAGUGGCGGACGGGUGAGUAACGCGUGAGGAACCUGCCUUUCAGAGGGGGACAACCAGUUGGAAACGACUGCUAAUACCGCAUGACACAUUGAGGUCGCAUGGCCUUAAUGUCUAAGAUUUAUCGCUGAAAGAUGGCCUCGCGUCUGAUUAGCUAGUUGGUGAGGUAACGGCCCACCAAGGCGACGAUCAGUAGCCGGACUGAGAGGUUGAACGGCCACAUUGGGACUGAGAUACGGCCCAGACUCCUACGGGAGGCAGCAGUGGGGAAUAUUGGGCAAUGGGCGCAAGCCUGACCCAGCAACGCCGCGUGAAGGAAGAAGGCUUUCGGGUUGUAAACUUCUUUUGUCAGGGACGAGUAGAAGACGGUACCUGACGAAUAAGCCACGGCUAACUACGUGCCAGCAGCCGCGGUAAUACGUAGGUGGCAAGCGUUGUCCGGAUUUACUGGGUGUAAAGGGCGUGUAGCCCGGGAGGGCAAGUCAGAUGUGAAAUCCACGGGCUUAACUCGUGAACUGCAUUUGAAACUGUUCUUCUUGAGUAUCGGAGAGGCAAUCGGAAUUCCUAGUGUAGCGGUGAAAUGCGUAGAUAUUAGGAGGAACACCAGUGGCGAAGGCGGAUUGCUGGACGACAACUGACGGUGAGGCGCGAAAGCGUGGGGAGCAAACAGGAUUUGAUACCCUGAUAGUCCACGCUGUAAACGAUGAAUACUAGGUGUGCGGGGACUGACCCCCUGCAU